GCUACUCUUGUGUAAACAGGUCAAUAAACAAUAAAACAAUACUUUUUUCAGAUAAAUAUGUCUGUAAAUGAUUCUAAGACCGUACACCAUUGCUGUGGCGCGUAUCUGUUACACUUUCUAAAUUAUUUCUACCGUAUCUUGCAUAUGUUUUAUCCGUACAUACGCCGAUACGACCCUUAUCUGGAGCCCAGUGAUAUAUGAUAUUGCCA